rnacentral:rRNA from 1 species
UACGUAGGGUGCGAGCGUUGUCCGGAAUUAUUGGGCGUAAAGGGCUCGUAGGCGGUUUGUCGCGUCGGGAGUGAAAACUCAGGGCUUAACCCUGAGCCUGCUUCCGAUACGGGCAGACUAGAGGUAUGCAGGGGAGAAUGGAAUUCCUGGUGUAGCGGUGAAAUGCGCAGAUAUCAGGAGGAACACCAACGGCGAAGGCAGCUCUCUGGGACGUUACUGACGCUGAGACGCGAAAGCGUGGGGAGCAAACAGG